GUUUUGUGUGUGGAUUUUAUAUCAUGUGAUGUUUCCCACAAACACAAAUUCUUUAUAUCAAAUUGUAGAUCUCCUUAUUUUGAACAACUGUGCCUCAAGAACCACUGCUGUCAAUCAAAUUGCUGUCAACUCAUACAUACAUGUACACACAUUAUGCACACACACAUGAACUGGUGUGACUAACAGACCAGAUCUUGUGCGAUUUGUAAAAAUAAAUAAAUAAAAUUAUUAUAUGAGCACAGUGACAGGGGCACCUUCAUAAAGUUUUGCAUAAGGUCCCCAGAUGUUUAGGACAGUCACUGGAUUUAGUUUUACACAUUAAUUUAUAAAUAUCUAUUGAAUAAAAAUGAAGCCAUGUUUUUCAUAAUUGUUGUACAGAUAGGUGGCAAAUUAAAGGAACACCCUUAAGAAAGGAGUUAGGGGUGAGGGCAUUUUUCUGGCAUGGUUUGGGUCCACUUAUCCCCUUAAAGGAAAUGGUCACUGCACAUCAAUAUGAAGUGGUUUUGAAUGAUCACCUUUUUUCCUAUGAUGAAGCAUUUCUAUCCUGUUACAAACGGACAAUGCACCAUCCAUAGGGCACAAGGGGUCAAUGAAUGGUUAAUGAUGUGAAGGAUAUGUCAUGGCCUAACCUGAUCUCAACCCAGUUGAACAUCUAUGGGAGAUUUCAGACCAAUGUGUUAUGUCUAUGUGAUGUCUUCAUCAUUAUCAAGACAGCAAAUGAUGAUCUUUUGGAACAAUAGUGUGCCAUUCCAGCAGUACAAUUCCAGAGACUUCUAGAAUCAAUGCCAAGGCACAUUGAAGCUGUUCUGGGAACACAUGGUGGCUUAACACUGUUUAUUAAGGUACUGUUAAUUUUCCCUUUAAUUUCUCACCCAUCUGUAUAAUGUCACUGUCACAUGGAAACCUAGUAUCUCCAGAUUUGAUCAUUUUUCCUUCUUUAAGUUCUUUAUAAAACAAUGCUAUUGGUCACCCUUUACAUUUAACUGUGGGUUUCACAAAUAUUUAACCAAUGAAAAGUAUUAAAAAGUGUUUGUGACUAAAUCUCAAUCUCUAAAACUUUUGGUAAAGCCUCAUAACUCCACCCCACCUACAUGUUGAAGGAUUGAUGUGCCACACAGCAGAGCUGAACGUAAACAGUGAUCUUGAAGUAACCACUUCAUCCUGCUCAGGAUUGAGGAGGAUCCAGAGUUUAUCCAGGAUUAAUGGGCAAGAGGCAAGAAUAUAUCUUACAUCAGUCCAUCACAGGAGACCACGGACACACACACAGACA